AUUGAACGCUGGCGGCAGGCCUAACACAUGCAAGUCGAACGAGUGGCGGACGGGUGAGUAAUGUCUGGGAAACUGCCUGAUGGCGGGGGAUAACUACUGGAAACGGUAGCUAAUACCGCAUCCCAUCGGAUGUGCCCAGAUGGGAUUAGCUAGUAGGUGGGGUAAAGGCUCACCUAGGCGACGAUCCCUAGCUGGGCUGAGAGGAUGACCAGCCACACGGGAACAUAGACACGGUCCAGACUCCUACGGGAGGCAGCAGGGGGGAAUAUUGCACAAUGGGCGCAAGCCUGAUGCAGCCAUGCCGCGGGUAUGAAGAAGGCCUGCGGGUUGUAAAGUACUUUCAGCGGAGAGGCGUUACCCGCAGAAGAAGCACCGGCUAACUCCGUGCCAGCAGCCGCGGUAAUUC
rnacentral:rRNA from 1 species